UACUUUUAUAUAAGGGUUCUUCGAUAUAAUGUCAUUAGUUUACUAGAAUCACAAUCCAAAAUGCUUACCUGCGUGGGGUUCUGGAAAUAAUCUCCUACUGUUGUUGCAUCAACAAGAAGCGUUGUCAAUUUAUACUGUCCUAGAAGAUUUACCUGUUUGAAAACUUGAGGACUUGGAGAAUGCGAUGUUGGCUUGAAGGACAUGAUGUUUAUGUAACUGGAUGCUAGCAGCUUGUGGGUCUGAGCCUUUCUUUUGGAAUUGCAAGUCAUUAGAGAAUUCAACAUAGAAAGCUACCUGUAGUCCUGUACGCACAAGAUGCCCCCCAGUGUCUGACCAGCCAACCUCAAUAGUGGAAAUACAAGGCAAAAAAGUAGUGAAUAGUCUUGACCGGUCAAGCUCAACGGAUGGACUUGCUCUAACCUUAGCUUGUAGGGUAAGAAGAAAGAUUUUUUUUUUUUUUUUUUCGUUUGAACUAUGCCUAUACCAUGUCAUAUUUUUUGGGUGUUGCUAUUUGUACCCGACAAAUUUUUUUGUAUACCCAGCAACACAAUUUUUGUUCUUAAUUUUCCAUUUUUACCCCUUAUCUAAAUAAAAUAAAUUAAAAAAAGAAGAAGAGGAAACAUGUACCCCGCCGUCGUGACUCAUGAGUCGUGAGUCGUCUCUUCCUCCCCAUAUUUCUCAUUGGCUAAUCGCUGUCACACCCUCAAAGCCUUCUUCAUUGAAGGGAGGGAGGAUCUUAUUUAAUCUUUUUCAAGGCCUCGUAUAAAGGUUUCUAUUUUUGCUGAUGCUUUUUUCUUCUUCUUUUUGGGUGAAAUUGGUUCUUCAUAUGAAAUUUUAGAUAAAUGUUGCUCACUCAUUUGAAUUUAAACAUCUGAGAAUUUACCUAUCUUGUUAUCAAUUCAUUAGUUUGUA